CUUUGAAUUAAAUGGGGAUGACACACGUGUAGGGGAAAUGUGCUGAUUUUGAUUUUUGAAUGACAAGACUUAAUCAAAAUUUCAGUUCCCAAUACUCGUCCGUAGCCUCAUUUCACUCUCACAUGUUUCUUCACGAUACACCAAUUGCCUAUGAAUAUAAAAUCUAUUUCACAUGACAAAAAUGACACAAAAAAAUAAAAUAUAUACAUAUACAUGCACAACACGUAAGCAGGGGCAGAGAAAGGGAUUGUUGGGACGUAUAUUCUUUUGUUUUGUCUUCCAAAAUUAGAGCAAGUUAACAAGGUAGGAUAUUGAGGUUCAGUAUUUUUCUAUCCCUUUGAAUAUUUUUUUCAUGUUGAUGAAUUAUAUGUUCAGAAAAGUUAAAGUUAUGAUAUGAUAUGCUAUGAUAUGAAUGAUAUGGUCAUUCUGGUACAACAAUAUGAUAUGAGCUCUUAUUGGAUUUAAAGAUAUGAG
rnacentral:lncRNA from 1 species